UUCUACACUCCAACACACUGAACUUGAAAUGAGCCGUGCUGACUCAGCUUUAACUUCAGUAACCCUCCUUUACUAUGAACGGCGUGACAAUCCCAGGCUACAGUGAUGUUGGUGGUGCUGUCUCACAGAACAUCAGGUAUGAGGUGCACACUUAAACACACAAUCCAAUCCAACAAAGCCAUUCCUACUAUUUAUGAAUAGCAGUGAAAUGAUGGAUAAACCGAUGGAUGGAUGGGUGUGGUGGUUCAAGGUCAAUCUGGGCAUGUGAUGAAAACGACGCUAUCAACAGCCGGACAGCUAAAUAAUGAGCUGAAAUUCUUCGUUUGGGCAUUGUAGCGUGUAGACGCUCUGUCUCGUGUUGUAUCGCUUUUGCCUGCCCUGCUCGUCACCCUGUUUCUGUGGAUUUGGAUUUGGAUUUCUAUUUGGAUUACCUUGGUUUUUGGACUCUGUGUGUCAGCCACCCUGCCAGUAAGUGUGCUCGCCUUUUGUUCGUUUUAAUAAACCUUUUGAACUAUA